CAUGUACCGGUGGGGUCCCUCGGCCUGGUCUGCACCUCUCACACUUUGGACCCCUCGGGGGAUGUUGGACUGCCAGUUUCAGCCCGUUCCCCGCAGGCCAGGCCGAGGGACCCCACCGGUGCAUG
rfam:Myotis lucifugus cont2.52986, whole genome shotgun sequence.